AUUGAACGCUGGCGGCAGGCUUAACACAUGCAAGUCGAGCGGAGCCUUCGGGCUUAGCGGCGAACGGGUGAGGAAUGCCUGGGAAUCUGCCUGUUAGUGGGGGAUAACGUUCCGAAAGGAACGCUAAUACCGCAUACGUCCUACGGGAGAAAGCAGGGGACCUUCGGGCCUUGCGCUAACAGAUGAGCCCAGGUCGGAUUAGCUAGUUGGUGGGGUAAAGGCUCACCAAGGCGACGAUCCGUAGCUGGUCUGAGAGGAUGAUCAGCCACACUGGAACUGAGACACGGUCCAGACUCCUACGGGAGGCAGCAGUGGGGAAUAUUGGACAAUGGGGGAAACCCUGAUCCAGCCAUGCCGCGUGUGUGAAGAAGGCCUUCGGUUGUAAGCACUUUAAGCGGGAGGAAGGCCGUUGAGGAGUAAUA
rnacentral:rRNA from 1 species